GCCAGGUAUGGCAGCACAUGCCUGUAGUCCUGGCUACUCGGGAGCCUGAGCCCGGAGUUCUAGGCUGCAGUGCACUAUGCCUAUCAGGUGUCUGCACUAAGUUCGGCAUCAAUAUGGUGACCUCCGGGAAGCAGGGGACCAUCAGGUUUCCUAAGGAGGGGUGAAUCGGCCCAGGUUGGAAACAGAGUUUCUGAUCAAAACUCCCGUGCUGAUCAGAAAGCCUUAGGUUAUUUAAUCAUUGCAAUAAUUAUGACUGCUAAUUUCAAU
rnacentral:SRP_RNA from 1 species